AUGAGCAAGCCAUCAUGGAAGGAUACAUUAAUUGGUGAAUCUGAGUAUGUCGAUGAUCACAGGUCUGGUAUGACAGUUGUGAAGCUGAAUGGAAGAUUGUACAAGUGUGGUCUCAUCAGUCCACGCUUGGACUUUGGAGAUCGAGUCCUAGACUGCAAGGCUGCUCCCCUCACCCAGCCGCGUGUCAGUUCGUUCUUGCCCGAGUCCUGGGGUGGAGGGAGUAGGCAUGUCAAGCAGGGCAGGCCAUGGGGGCGGCAGCAGCGGUCCAUGCCAGCAAGACAGUUGUCGGAUGGUGUUCUGGACUACGCCCAAGUAGCCAGCAGUGACAACUCUGAAAAGACACCGACAGUCCAUCUGUCAGCGACCUUCGUGCUCUAUGGCUUGACUGGUGAUUUGCCCUACCUCACUGCCGCUCCCUGCACAUCCCGGCAGGUGAUCCGAUCGGUGUCAGCGACAACUCUGAAAAGACAUCACUCACAUAGGCGCAGGAGCUUCAGCUGUGCAGGACAUCGAUUUGCCCAUUGUGCCGCCCACAAGCUUCUUGAUGUCUCAAGCAUCCAUGACGCAUUCCAUGGCGCCUACGAGCUGUUCGAUCAAAUGCUGCACCGCCACCGGUUGCCACCAUCUGAUCGUGCAAUCAUGGUGUGA
rnacentral:rRNA from 1 species